GCGCCGGGAAUGAGCCUGCCCUUCCUAUCGUUUCUCCAAGGUGUCUGCAGCAUUGUGACAUAUUUGUAGGCAUAUGAUUGGAAGAUUGGCCAUAAGAGACUACAUUUACCAGGUGUCCGCCUGGUGUCCUUUGUGUAAAUCAGCGCGUAAUCUUCAGUUGUGGGCAUUUUCUCCUGGGAUUCAGAGGGAAAGCACACUUCGACGAACGAUGUAUCAUCGAAGAGAUAUGUGAAAAACACCUUGAGGAUUGGUUCUAAACAACGUUUGCCAUGUUUCAGUCGAUAUUAUGGAGUUAAUUUGGAAAAAAGUUUGACGUUUAGAUGACUGAAUUUUCGUUUUUUUUUGGUAGCCAAACGUGACGCACCAAACGGAGCGAUUUCUCCUAAACAAAUAUUCUUUUUGGAAAAACUGAACAUUUGCUAUCUAACAGAGUCUCCUCAUUGAAAACAUCUGAAGUUCUUCAAAGGUUGGUGGCUCCUGGUCCCCAGGCUGAUGCCUUCCCUCGCAACACCCCGAUGCCUUCCCUUGCAACACCCCAUCGCCUCCCCUGGGACCCCUUGCCUAUGCCGUCAGGUCCCUACUGGAAUCCUGUUGUCGUUCUGUACGAUACUCCUGUUCUGUUCAUCUGCCUUGUCUUAUUAUAUUUUUUACUUUUCCCCCUUUUUCUCCCCAAUUUCGUGGUAUCCAAUUGGUAGUUACAGUCUUGUCUCAUCGCUGCAACUCCUGUAUGGACUCGAGAGAAGCGAAGGUCGAGAGCCAUGCGUCCUCCGAAACACGACCCAACCAAGCUGUACUGCUUCUUGACACAAUGCCUGCUUAACCCGGAAGCCAGCCACACCAAUGUGUUGGAGGAAACACCGUACACCUGGCGACCGUGUCAGCGUGCAUGCGCCCGGCCCACCACAGGAGUUGCUAGAGCAUGAUGGGACAAGAAGAUCUCUGCUGGCCAAACCCUCCCCUAACCUGGACGAUGCUGGGCCAAUUGUGCACCAGCCCAUGGGUCUCCCGGUUGCAGCCGGCUGUGACAGAGCCUGGAGUCGAACCAGGAUCUCUAGUGGCACAGCUAGCAACUCUGAUGCAGUGCCGUAGGCCACUGAACCACUAGGGAGGCGCCUUGUCU
ensembl:lncRNA